UACGUAGGUGGCAAGCGUUGUCCGGAUUUACUGGGCGUAAAGAGCGCGCAGGCGGUCGUUCAAGUCGCGUGUGAAAGCCCCCGGCUCAACUGGGGAGGGUCACGCGAUACUGAUCGACUCGAAGGCAGGAGAGGGAAGUGGAAUUCCCGGUGUAGUGGUGAAAUGCGUAGAUAUCGGGAGGAACACCAGUGGCGAAGGCGACUUCCUGGCCUGUUCUUGACGCUGAGGCGCGAAAAGCU
rnacentral:rRNA from 1 species